rnacentral:piRNA from 1 species
UAUAAGAGAUCCACUGUCGUUAAUGGAAGC